GAUGAACGCUAGCGGCAGGCCUAAUACAUGCAAGUCGAGGGGCAGCAUGAUUGUAGCAAUACAAUUGAUGGCGACCGGCAAACGGGUGCGGAACACGUACACAACCUUCCAACAAGUGGGGGAUAGCCCAGAGAAAUUUGGAUUAAUACCCCGUAACAUAGCGAUGUGGCAUCACAUUGCUAUUAUAGAUUUUUCGCUUGUUGAUGGGUGUGCGGCUGAUUAGAUAGUUGGCGGGGUAACGGCCCACCAAGUCUACGAUCAGUAGCUGAUGUGAGAGCAUGAUCAGCCACACGGGCACUGAGACACGGGCCCGACUCCUACGGGAGGCAGCAGUAAGGAAUAUUGGACAAUGGACGCAAGUCUGAUCCAGCCAUGCCGCGUGAAGGAUUAAGGUCCUCUGGAUUGUAAACUUCUUUUAUAAGGGACGAAAAAAGGCUUUUCUAAGUCGUCUGACGGUACCUCAUGAAUAAGCACCGGCUAACUCCGUGCCAGCCGCCGCAGUAAUAC
rnacentral:rRNA from 1 species